rnacentral:rRNA from 1 species
AGCGAACGCUGGCGGCAGGCCUAACACAUGCAAGUCGAACGAGCUCUUCGGAGUUAGUGGCGGACGGGUGAGUAACACGUGGGAACGUGCCUUUAGGUUCGGAAUAACUCAGGGAAACUUGUGCUAAUACCGAAUGUGCCCUUCGGGGGAAAGAUUUAUCGCCUUUAGAGCGGCCCGCGUCUGAUUAGCUAGUUGGUGAGGUAAAGGCUCACCAAGGCGACGAUCAGGAGCUGGUCUGAGAGGAUGAUCAGCCACAUUGGGACUGAGACACGGCCCAAACUCCUACGGGAGGCAGCAGUGGGGAAUCUUGCGCAAUGGGCGAAAGCCUGACGCAGCCAUGCCGCGUGAAUGAUGAAGGUCUUAGGAUUGUAAAAUUCUUUCACCGGGGACGAUAAUGACGGUACCCGGAGAAGAAGCCCCGGCUAACUUCGUGCCAGCCGCCGCGGUAA